rnacentral:rRNA from 1 species
UACGAAGGGGGCUAGCGUUGCUCGGAAUCACUGGGCGUAAAGCGCACGUAGGCGGAUUGUUAAGUCAGGGGGUGAAAUCCUGGAGCUCAACUCCAGAACUGCCUUUGAUACUGGCGAGCUUGAGUUCGGGAGAGGUGAGUGGAACUGCGAGUGUAGAGGUGAAAUUCGUAGAUAUUCGCAAGAACACCAGUGGCGAAGGCGGCUCACUGGCCCGAUACUGACGCUGAGGCACGAAAAGCGUGGGGAGCAAACAGGG